rnacentral:rRNA from 1 species
UACGUAGGCAGCGAGCGUUGUUCGGAAUUACUGGGCGUAAAGAGUGUGUAGGCGGUCUUUUAAGUCGGGGGUGAAAUCCUGGAGCUCAACUCCAGAACUGCCUUCGAUACUGGAAGACUCGAGUCCGGGAGAGGUGAGUGGAACUGCGAGUGUAGAGGUGAAAUUCGUAGAUAUUCGCAAGAACACCAGUGGCGAAGGCGGCUCACUGGCCCGGUACUGACGCUGAGGUGCGAAAGCGUGGGGAGCAAACAGG